GGGCGAUUAGCUCAGUUGGCUAGAGCACUUCAUUGACGUUGAAGGGGUCAGAGGUUCGAGUCCUCUAUCGCCCA
rnacentral:tRNA from 1 species